AAGUAUCCUAGAAAGGUGUUAAACUUUUAAUUUAACUACGAUACAAGUUAUCCUU
rnacentral:tRNA from 1 species